UUGAACGCUGCCGGCAGGCCUAACACAUGCAAGUCGAGCGGAAACGAUCCUAGCUUGCUAGGAGGCGUCGAGCGGCGGACGGGUGAGUAAUGCAUAGGAAUCUGCCCGGUAGUGGGGGAUAACUUGAGGAAACUCAAGCUAAUACCGCAUACGCCCUACGGGGGAAAGCAGGGGCUCUUCGGACCUUGCGCUAUCGGAUGAGCUUAUGUCGGAUUAGCUGGUUGGUGAGGUAACGGCUCACCAAGGCGACGAUCCGUAGCUGGUCUGAGAGGAUGAUCAGCCACAUCGGGACUGAGACACGGCCCGAACUCCUACGGGAGGCAGCAGUGGGGAAUAUUGGACAAUGGGGGCAACCCUGAUCCAGCCAUGCCGCGUGUGUGAAGAAGGCCCUCGGGUUGUAAAGCACUUUCAGCGAGGAAGAAUGCUUGUCGGUUAAUACCCGGCAAGGGAGACAUCACUCGCAGAAGAAGCACCGGCUAACUCCGUGCCAGCAGCCGCGGUAAUACGGAGGGUGCGAGCGUUAAUCGGAAUUACUGGGCGUAAAGCGUGCGUAGGCGGCUUGAUAAGCCGGUUGUGAAAGCCCCGGGCUCAACCUGGGAACGGCAUCCGGAACUGUUAGGCUAGAGUGCAGGAAAGGAAGGUAGAAUUCCCGGUGUAGCGGUGAAAUGCGUAGAGAUCGGGAGGAAUACCAGUGGCGAAGGCGGCCUUCUGGACUGACACUGACGCUGAGGUAC
rnacentral:rRNA from 1 species